UUCGGGCUUGGACUGUUGUCUGUUGUGUUCUUCUGAGAGUGCGUUUGCCUCGACACAGUGGCAGCAACGCUACAUGACGCCACAAGUUUCCAACUAAUGUCAGGAAAGCAGCCUCACGUUGUGCUUCUUCUUCAGUGUGGAGCUCUCUACAAAGAGGUACGACAGCACCACCAUGCCUGGGAAGGACUCAAGACCGCCUUCCUGCAGAAUGCCCGCCGUCCAGCCGCCUUCACACUUCAACUUCGAAAGAACGUCCGAAUGGCCAGCAUGGUCGCAAGAAUUCGCCGACUAUCGGUUUGCGUCGGGUUUGAACGAGCGCAGCGAGGAAGCUCAAGAGCGGACUCUUCUUUACACAAUGGGCAGACAAGCAUGUCACGGUAUUUCAAGCCUUCGGCUUGCCGGAACACGAAGGCCAGAAAUAGGAGGCCACCAAAAGGCAAGUUUGAUAAGCACUUCAUGGCUGCUCGCAACUCUCUUUAUGAAAGCGCCUGCUUUCGCCGUAGAAGCCAGAAUCAUGGCGAGUUCGUCGAGAACUUCAUCACAGCUCUGCACGCGCUUACAGCCCGGUGUGCCUUCGGGACUUUCAAAGAGGAAAUGAUUCGCGUCCUCUUUGUCGUAGGCCUCAAGGACGCGAAGCUGUCCCAGACAGUGCAAGUGGACGCCGACCGCACGCUGGCAAGCGCCAUCGCCAAGGCCUGUCUCAAACAGUACACGAGCAACAUUAGCAGUUGCGAAACAAUGUCGGUUCGGCCGUAAUGAGAAUGGAAACAGACGUGGACGCUUUCGAAAAGAAGAGCGCGUCUUCGCAACCUCUUCGAAAGGGGCAUCUAGAGCACCGCGUGUGGGGCCCUGCAACUCGAGGCAAAACUCAGCGGUGUCCGUUAUGCGGGAACGCAUCCAAGGCUUGCGUGCCCGGUGAAGACAGCAAAGUGUUACCAUUGCAACGUGAAGGGACACUUCAGUGCGGUCUGUCACAAGGAGGGUUUCAGAUCCAGCAAGACAAGGCUUCCGGAGCCGACCAUGUCAGCCUUCCUCGGCCACUUGUGCAGCAGUGAAGCUUGGGUAGGGACGCUCGCAGCAAGGGCUGCUGCUGUAGCAAGGUCCAGGCUGCUGCUGUACUUCUGGGAGGCUGAGAUCUACCGCGAACAGCAGCAGGGGCAUCCCUAGGCUGCCCAAGCCCUCCAUGGGUUGCGCUAUGCGAUCGUUGGCUACGCCGACCCUGUGGCAUCGGCAGUGCUGGAAACCCCUACCUGUGGUCAGCCCCUGCGAGUACACCGAAGCGCAUGGCGCCCUCGCCGCGGUCGUCAUGGUGGGGACCGUGGCCGUCCUCACAGCAUCGACCUUCGUGAAGAUGCAAGUCGAUGCGAGCAACGCGAUGACUGCGCCACCUUUGCCCACCCUCUCCGCUUGCCUGGGCCACUGGGGCUCUUGGGAAACCUGGGUGGCCACGCUGGCUGCCAGGGGGCUAACCCGGCUGCUGCUGUACUUCUGGGCCUCAGAAAUCUACCGACAGCAGCAGCAGGGGAUGCCGCAGCCAGCACAGGCCAUGUACGGUUGGGCGUGCUUCUUCAUGGGCCACGCCGACCCGGUGGCCACGACAGCACUGGCCACCCUCGCAAUUCUGGGCCCGUACCACCACCCUAAUCCCCAUGCAGCUCUGGCGGCCGUGGUCAUGGUAGGAUCGCUUGUGAUCAUCGCCUGUUCAACAUACCUACAAGCCAUCGUUGACAGCGACAAUAUGACCAUGAUGCCAACCUUCCAAACGCUCUCCGCCUGCAUGGGCCACUGGGGCUCCUGGCAAGCCUGGGUGGCCACGCUGGCUGCCAGGGGGUUAACCUGGCUGCUGCUGUACUUCUGGGCAUCAGAAAUAUACAGAGAGCAGCAGCCGGGGAUACCCCAGACAGCCGAGGCCAUCUACGGCCGGUGCUGCAGGAUAGUGGCUUACGCCGAUCCAGUGGCGUCGACUGCGCUCGCCUCCGUGCCCGUAUUCGGCCCUUAUGAGUAUGCGGAGGCCCAUGCUGUGCGGGCUGCGGUCGUCAUGGUGGUGACGCUGUGCGUCCUUGCAGCAGCUACAUACGUGAAGUUCAUGGUGGAGAACGACAAUGGGACCUGGACCACCAUGGCCCUCAAGGCGCUAUGCGGUCUCUACAGCGUGGCCUGUGUUGUGGCCUUAGCCACGGGGGCCAUCAAGGACGCUCUCCCUCCUGAUUGGCAGCUCUUUUGUAGCAAUAUCACAGCCUCCAAGAUCUAGCGGCUCCGGAGCUCAAAGGUGCUGCAAUCGCUGGUCUCUGGGGCUUCAGCAUUCAUUCUAGCCCGAAGGUGGUGCUCUACGGGAAUAGCCAGAGCCAGUACAAGCCACCAUAGUAGUUCAAUAAAGGUCAAACAAUUUUCGUCCUCAUGGAGCAAGCGCUCACGCUCUUGCAAUUUUUGCACUGUUUAGUCUUCUCUAUCAUCGUGUACGAAUAAACGUUUUAUGAUUCA